rnacentral:rRNA from 1 species
CUACUCUUGAUAUCCAGAGAACUUAGCAGAGAUGCUUUGGUGCCUUCGGGAACUCUGAGACAGGUGCUGCAUGGCUGUCGUCAGCUCGUGUUGUGAAAUGUUGGGUUAAGUCCCGCAACGAGCGCAACCCUUAUCCUUUGUUGCCAGCGGUCCGGCCGGGAACUCAAAGGAGACUGCCAGUGAUAAACUGGAGGAAGGUGGGGAUGACGUCAAGUCAUCAUGGCCCUUACGAGUAGGGCUACACACGUGCUACAAUGGCGCAUACAAAGAGAAGCGAACUCGCGAGAGCAAGCGGACCUCAUAAAGUGCGUCGUAGUCCGGAUUGGAGUCUGCAACUCGACUCCAUGAAGUCGGAAUCGCUAGUAAUCGUAGAUCAGAAUGCUACGGUGAAUA